UCACAUGCGUGCUCAAAUAAAUAUACGCGCGAGUUUUUGAUAAAAUAAAAAGGAAACUUCUCUAGUGGCAACUUGUUGGUCCUCCAAGUUCCAACUUUGUUUACAAAUGACCGGGGAAGGAAAAGGAGAAGCCGGUGAAUACAUGGCGGUUAUUCGAUAUUUAAUCCUCUCGUUUAUCUUCGUUCUGUUUGUCCGAGAAGACGAGAGACCGUAACCGGACUCUAAUUUAAUUCCAGGAUACCUCCGUAUAAUGGCCGUGGAGGGUGUAAGAAGCAGAGGAUGAGGUAGAACAUGCCGAUGUUCAAGAUAGAAUUCUGUAGAGAUGGGUGAUAUAUUUGAGUGACCAACACCAUCUGGAAGAUGAAUUUAAGGUCUUGCAAAGAAGUGAAACAAGCAUGUGAUGUCUGUCAUUCACCUUUUUGGAAGUUAUCUGAAUCGCAAUACCCCGAAGGAGUGAGUGUCCUCAACAGGAGGCAGAGCCAAUCGGUUGCCAGCACUGAAGACGACCCAAAGGGUCGUUUUCUAAGGUGACAGCCGAUUGCCGAGAUGGGAAAGGCCUUGAAGACUUCCCCUGAGCUUUCCUAUAUGAAAUACAGUUUUCUAUGACGCCUGAAGUAUGUUGGACCCUUUCAAAUAUCAAAGAAAACAGUUUGUCCAAAGAUGGUCUGGUAAGGUUCCCACUAAGACAAGCCUAGGCUUACGUUCACCUUCUUGCUUGUGAUGUUUUAUGAAGGCAAAUGGUUGCUUGAACACUGAAUGUCCGGUGAAACAAUGCGUGAAAUCUUUUAGGCUAAUGUCCAGCACAACAGACUGAUUAUUGUUACCAAUUUAUGAAUGUCUAAGAAUUCAGAAUCUGCGCACACGGACAGAUUCUAACAGGACAGUACACUGUGUCUUAUUUUCUUCCUGGCUCCCACCCUACUCCCAA